CAACACAAAGGCGUGUUCGGUCCCGGAGCGCCCCUGCCAAAGGGUGUGACGGGCGAAAAAGGGAAUACGGUGCGGCGCGCAAGGUGCCAAAUCCGUGGCUGCCCCCGCAACUGUGAGCGGUGAGCGACGCUGAUCGAUGCCACUGGGACAAAUCCCGGGAAGGCCAGCCAAGCUACGACCCGUGAGCCAGGAGACCUGCCGCACACAUGCGCCCGAU
rnacentral:ncRNA from 1 species